AGGCCGCGGGUGAAGAAGAAAAUCCGUACCCGCUCGGCCCGGAGCGAGGAGGUGCCUCAGAACAAGGAGGUGCCUCAGAACAAGGAGGUGCCUCGGAGCGAGGAGGUGACCCCGAGAACGGAGGUGGCUCGGAGCGAGGAGGCG
rnacentral:other from 1 species